rnacentral:rRNA from 1 species
AAUGAACGUUGGCGGCGUGGAUUAGGCAUGCAAGUCGUGCGAGAAUCUCCCUUCGGGGAGAGGACAGCGGCGAAAGGGAGAGUAACGCGUGGUUACAUACCCUCGGGACCGGGAUAGUAGCGGGAAACUGCUAGUAAUACCGGAUAAUAUCUUUGGAUCAAAGGUGUGAUUCCGCCCGAGGAUUGGACCGCGUUCUAUUAGCUUGUUGGCGGGGUAAUGGCCCACCAAGGCGACGACGGAUACCGGGUGUGAGAGCAUGGCCCGGCUCACUGGGACUGAGACACUGCCCAGACACCUACGGGUGGCUGCAGUCGAGAAUCUUCGGCAAUGGGGGCAACCCUGACCGAGCGACGCCGCGUGCGGGAUGAAGGCCUUCGGGUUGUAAACCGCUGUCAGUUGGGAGGAAGUGCCAGGGGGUUCUCCCCUUGGUUUGACCGAUCUUCAGAGGAAGGACGGGCUAAGUUCGUGCCAGCCGCCGCAGUAAAAC